GGAGGGGUCGCAUAGUGGCCUAGUGCGGCGGUUUGCUAAAUCGCUAUACGGGUAAAACCGUAUCGAGGGUUCGAAUCCCUCCCCCUCCGCCA
rnacentral:tRNA from 1 species